AAAGAACGUAAAUAAUUCAAACGCACGAUGGCCUUAUCGGUUUACUUUAUUUUUUUCCUACUUGCCACAACUGUUAUCUGCUUUCCUUCUCCUUUCGAAUGGAAAAAGCAGACUUUUAUCAAUGAUGAUUACAGCUGUAAUAGUGACCGAGGAUGCUGCGAAGAUGAACGGUGCGAUUUUCAUUGUCCUGGACUAUUGGGGAUUAACUGUAAAGGUAGAUGUGUCAAAUGCUGAUGAUAACAUUUCAUGCAUCUAACAAAAACAAUAAAAUGUUAUUUUGGAAGAUAGCAAAAAGAUGGU